AAAAGUGUGAUGACUCUCUAAGAUGUGAAUCUUUUUAUAUAUGAGAAGGAAUUAUUAAUGCGGUGCUUUUUCCUCCUUUACGGGUGAGCGAGUGCUGGGCUUUCAUGGGCCUCUUCUGUAUGAAGCAAAGUGUGUAAAGGUUGCCAUAAAGGACAAACAAGUGAAAUACUUCAUACAUUACAGUGGUUGGAAUAAAAAUUGGGAUGAGUGGGUUCCGGAGAGCCGAGUACUCAAAUAUGUGGACACCAAUUUGCAGAAACAGCGAGAACUUCAAAAAGCCAAUCGAAAGGGCCUCCUACCCUAUGUCACUCAAAUUGGAAAAAGGUGACUUAAAGAACAAUUGCUCUGAACCUGAAGCUUUUCAAAGCACUGACACAGAUUGAAGGACUUCGGAGAAAGAAAAAACUGGACCCUGAAAACCUGUCCUGCUUUUGUUCAAACAAUCAGUGAGAAAGAUACCAGCUUUUCAUGUUCUCUGCAGUAUCUUUUCAAUAAAUAGAGACUGCUGCACUUUCUAUUUUUUAAAC